GUAUUUUUAUAACUAUCUUAUAACACAGUUCUACCUUUUUUUUGUCUACAAACAAUCCCCCGUUAUAUAUAAAUAUAUAUACACAUAUAUACCUCAUCCUAAUGAAGAUUGAAAGCACUUGAAACGACGAUUUUCUCUCAAACCAAGUUGUCAGCGAUUCGAAGUCCAUCGCGAACUGGUAGCCUAUUAUGAUGUUUAUAUCGAAGGACAAAAAUACGAGGAAGAAAUCAUGGUUUGUUUUGUGGACCUGG